rnacentral:lncRNA from 10 species
AUCGUGGGGAGAAGCAACGCAAGACCCCGGAAGCAUGCCAACGUGUAAAACCCCAAGUCAAAGGUCAAACAGUGCACUGGAUCUCUCAAGUCGCCUGCUUGGCCCUCUACUAAAAAGGGAGAUGCCAUGUGCUGGCCCAGCACUCCAACAGGGGCCUGACCUCUAGGAACGGGACACUGGAGGAAGCCUAGACAUCUGAACAAAUCAAGUCAUCCAGAUCCACGGUCAGCUCCUGCCCCGACUUGGCCUUCCUCCUGCUGGGCUGGCCCACGGACCUCGGGAACCUGCCCUGGCUGUGGGUGACCUGCAGCCUAUCUCCCAGGACUAUGGAAGCCCCAUGCAGGAACAUGGUUCUGACACUUUGGGGAUUAUACCCUAAGCUUAAAGGACUGGAAAAGCCCCUGAAGUCCCGAGACCACAACCCUCCACCUUCUAAAGAUAAGACAAGUCACUGAAGGUCUCAGAACUGUGGCCCAUUCACCCCUUCCCUCAAGACAAGAGUGUGGCCAAGCAUCAAUCUCACCCCCAGAGACCAGACGGUGUCCAGGUCUUGGGCAGACGAAACCUGCUCCUUGGGGAUGGUCUUCCUGGCUGUGCUUCCAAAGGGCUGGCCUGCAAUCAGCUGGUUUUCACUUGAUCCUUUCGGGGUUUGCAUUAUAUCUGACUGAAGGAAUGAACUGGGAGAGAACAGCAGAGCCGCAGCGGAAUGUGGAAAGGCCCACGUCCAGACUGUUCCCAUUCUGG